rnacentral:rRNA from 1 species
UACGUAGGGUGCAAGCGUUAAUCGGAAUUACUGGGCGUAAAGCGUGCGCAGGCGGUGAUGUAAGACAGGUGUGAAAUCCCCGGGCUUAACCUGGGAACUGCAUUUGUGACUGCAUCGCUGGAGUGCGGCAGAGGGGGAUGGAAUUCCGCGUGUAGCAGUGAAAUGCGUAGAUAUGCGGAGGAACACCAGUGGCGAAGGCGGCCACCUAGCCCGCACCUGACGCUGAGGCGCGACAGCGUGGGGAGCGAACUGG